AUGGCUCAGGAUGAACGCUAGCGACAGGCUAACACAUGCAAGUCGAGGGGCAGCACGGGAGUAGCAAUACUUGGUGGCGACCGGCGCACGGGUGAGUAACGCGUAUGCAACCUACCUAUCAGAGGGGAAUAACCCGGCGAAAGUCGGACUAAUACCGCAUAAAACAGGGGCACCGCAUGGUGAUAUUUGUUAAAGAAAUUCGCUGAUAGAUGGGCAUGCGUUCCAUUAGGUAGUUGGUGAGGUAACGGCUCACCAAGCCGACGAUGGAUAGGGGAACUGAGAGGUUGGUCCCCCACACUGGUACUGAGACACGGACCAGACUCCUACGGGAGGCAGCAGUGAGGAAUAUUGGUCAAUGGGCGGGAGCCUGAACCAGCCAAGUCGCGUGAAGGAAGAAGGAUCUAUGGUUCGUAAACUUCUUUUGCAGGGGAAUAAAGUGCAGGACGUGUCCUGUUUUGUAUGUACCCUGAGAAUAAGGAUCGGCUAACUCCGUGCCAGCCGCAGC
rnacentral:rRNA from 1 species